AUUGAACGCUGGCGGCAGGCCUAACACAUGCAAGUCGAGCGGAUGAAGGGAGCUUGCUCCUGGAUUCAGCGGCGGACGGGUGAGUAAUGCCUAGGAAUCUGCCUGGUAGUGGGGGAUAACGUCCGGAAACGGGCGCUAAUACCGCAUACGUCCUGAGGGAGAAAGUGGGGGAUCUUCGGACCUCACGCUAUCAGGUGAGCCUAGGUCGGAUUAGCUAGUUGGUGGGGUAAAGGCCUACCAAGGCGACGAUCCGUGACUGGUCUGAGAGGAUGAUCAGUCACACUGGAACUGAGACACGGUCCAGACUCCUACGGGAGGCAGCAGUGGGGAAUAUUGGACAAUGGGCGAAAGCCUGAUACAGCCAUGCCGCGUGUGUGAAGAAGGUCUUCGGAUUGUAAAGCACUUUAAGUUGGGAGGAAGGGCAGUAAGUUAAUACCUUGCUGUUUUGACGUUACCAACAGAAUAAGCACCGGCUAACUUCGUG
rnacentral:rRNA from 1 species